rnacentral:tRNA from 1 species
GGGUGUAACUCAGUGGUAGAGUACUUGGCUAGCAUGCCCAGCCCCUGGGUUCAAUCCCCAGCACCACCA